UACAGAGGGUGCGAGCGUUGUCCGGAAUCACUGGGCGUAAAGGGCGCGUAGGUGGUUGGGUAAGCGUGUGGUGAAAGCCCGGGGCUCAACCCCGGGUCGGCCAUGCGAACUGCCCGACUGGAGCACGGUAGAGGCCAAUGGAAUUCCGGGUGUAGCGGUGGAAUGCGUAGAGAUCCGGAAGAACACCGGUGGCGAAGGCGGUUGGCUGGGCCGUGGCUGACACUGAGGCGCGACGAGCGUGGGGAGCAAACAGG
rnacentral:rRNA from 1 species